UUUUUUUUUUUUUUUUUUUUUUUUUUUUGAGAUGGAGUUUCUCCCUUGUUGCCCAGGCCGGAGUGCAGUGGCAUGAUCUCAGCUCACCGCAACAUCUGCCUCCCAAGUUCAAGCGAUUCUCCUGCUUCAGCCUCCCAAGUAACUGGGAUUACAGGCAUGCGCCACCAUGCCGGGCUAAUUUUUGUAUCUUUAGCAGAGACAGGGUUUCUCCAUGUUGGUCAGGCUGGUCUCGAAUUCCCGACCUCAGGUGAUCCGCCCACCUGGGCCUCCCAAAGGUAGCUCACUUCUUUUUACCCAUUACAUGGAUAUACCAUAUUUUGUUUAUCCAUUGGCCUGUUGAAGGACAUCUUGGUUGCUUCCAGCUUUAGGCAAUGGUGAAUCAUGUGGUUAUAACAUUCAUGUGGAGUGUUGGAUGUUCUAUUGUGAGAAGGCGAUGCAUGGAACCAAGGCAGCCAUCUUUUUAUCAUGGGGUGAAAAUCUGAGGAUGAAAAGUGAAUAUGCGAAGGAUGCAGAGUGGAAGGAAAGGAAGAACUACAUCCUUGAGGACACGUGGGAGCCAGUGGGCCAAUCCCAGGAUUCCUUGUCAGCUGAACCAUAUCCUGGAAUCCUCCCAGAUACAUCAUCAACGAAAACCCCUGGAUUUCCUUGUGGAUAGCCAAAUCUCUGCCAACUUGUAUAUGAGCAACUUAGGGUCUAGGUGCCUAUUUGGGGUCAAUUAUCACCUCCAGCUUGAUACAACUAAGAGCCAUAAAAGAACAAGAAACAAACUUUUGUUGUGAUGAGCCCAUGAGAUG